rnacentral:rRNA from 1 species
GAUGAACGCUGGCGGCGUGCUUAACACAUGCCAGUCGAACGAUGAAGCUCAGCUUGCUGGGUGGAUUAGUGGCGAACGGGUGAGUAACACGUGAGUAACCUGCCCUUAACUCUGGGAUAAGCCUGGGAAACUAGGUCUAAUACCGGAUAGGAGCGCCUACCGCAUGGUGGGUGUUGGAAAGAUUUAUCGGUUUUGGAUGGACUCGCGGCCUAUCAGCUUGUUGGUGAGGUAAUGGCUCACCAAGGCGACGACGGGUAGCCGGCCUGAGAGGGUGACCGGCCACACUGGGACUGAGACACGGCCCAGACUCCUACGGGAGGCAGCAGUGGGGAAUAUUGCACAAUGGGCGAAAGCCUGAUGCAGCGACGCCGCGUGAGGGGUGACGGCCUUCGGGUUGUAAACCUCUUUCAGUAGGGAAGAAGCGAAAGUGACGGUACCUGCAGAAGAAGCACCGGCUAACUACGUG